UAGAGCAGUUACUAGCUAACCUCCUGUCAACUGAGGGCGAGAAUGUCUCUCCUURGUCUUUUAAUUUCCAGUUGUUUGGAAUUUCCAGUCUGUUUUUGAAAUAAGGUUGCUACAGGCGCCUCGCCUAGGGAUCCAUGGCCAGGCAGCUGUAAUAUCUGAUAGAAUAACACCUUGAGGACUUUGACUGACCGAGAGAAGGUGGAUGACAGCUAAACUUCACUGCCUCCUACUGGGCCUGCUGUGGUCCAGAGCUCGUCAUACGAUCAGCAAGAAGACAAUCCUAUACAACAAGAUGUUAUUGAGAAGGAACGUGUUAUUACACAGGUAUAAGAGUAACUGUGGAGUGUUACUGAAUAUUCUUAAGACAUUGGGAAUGAAACAGUCCAGAUUUCCAAUAGAUUUUCACCUUAAUAGGAUAACAGGUGUACCAUUGUGUGGAAAUGUGAAUCCCACCCCCCUCUCCCUGACAAUACUGAGAUGGUUAUGCUCUCUUUUUGGGGCCUCGGAAUGUGAAAUGACAUAUCAAAGCAGAAUGUGAAAUUUGCCAUCUACUGCUCUCUCGUCAUUUAUCCCAAACCAUACAAUGGAUACAUCUUCCCUACAAACAGCUGAUCUUUGCCCUGCAUUUGCCCCU